GAUGAACGCUGGCGGCGUGCCUAAUACAUGCAAGUCGAGCGAAGCGGGGACGGGGGAGGAACACGUGGAUAACCUCCUAUAAGACUGGGAUAAAUUAGGGAAACAGGAGCUAAACCGGAUAAUUAUAGAUGGAUCCGCGAUGCAUUAGCUAGUUGGUAAGGUAACGGCUUACCAAGGCAACGAUGCAUAGCCGACCUGAGAGGGUGAUCGGCCACACUGGAACUGAGACACGUUCCAGACUCCUACGGUAGGCAGCAGUAGGGAAUCUUCCGCUAUGGGCGAAAGCCUGACGGAGCAACGCCGCGUGACUGAUGAAGGUCUUCGGAUCGUAAAACUCUGUUAUUAGGGAAGCGGUACCUAAUCAGAAAGCCACGGCUAACUACGUGCCAGCAGCCGCGGUAAUAC
rnacentral:rRNA from 1 species